UAAAAAUACAGACUCUGCUUUGAGAGACAAUAAGACACUACAUACACCAGCAUGAUGGAACAUGUGAUGCUUUCGGACUGAAGUUCACAACAAUCCUCACCUUAAGCUAACAGUGCAGUAGUUCUUCAAAAUCACUAAUCCAGCAUCUGAAAUUUAACUGACUAUCUGACUGCAAAAUUUUAAAAAUCUAAGUUGACAGAGAAAAUAAAAUUUACUGAUAAUGUCAUGCAUUUGUAGGGGAACUCAUUUCCAUGUUUUGCACUUAGCCGUAAUUCCAUUCCCCCUCCCCUUUUGGAUUCAUUAGACUGCAACUCCCAGAAGUCCUAAUCAAUACAGCCGAUGGUGACAUGUAAUGCUGGGAUUUGAAGCACUUUGCCCACACCUAUUGUAAAUUCAUCCUCAUAGUGGAUGAAUCCCAUGGUAUGAGUUUCCCUUUGCAAUGGGAAAAUGAGGGUGACACAACUCGGAGGACAGCGUUAGCACAUCUUCCAGCUCUGACAGGGCUGAAGGCAGCGUAUCUGAAUUUCACAAGGCUCAGCAAGAGAAAGAGAGAGAGAACUGGUUCAAGAUCACCCAGUGAGCUUCAUCACAGAGGGAGUGACACCAGGGAUACAAGAACUUUAAUCUCAUUUUCCAACCAUAACACUACCUUUCUCUCGCAAGUCUCCAUGGAACUCACCUUUGGUACGUACAAUCCCAUUGUGCAAAACACACAGAUAAUCUCCUCCCAAUUUGCAUUUAAUGGGAGUGUUCAUGCAUGUGUGGCCUCCACCUUCGUUUUGACAGUUGUCUAAAUAAAUCAUGCAGUUCGUGAGAUAAGGUUAGCUCUCACUACCCCAGAGCUAACCAAAAUCUCUCCUAGGCCCUCCCAUUUCCAAGCAGGGAACUAAGGCCAAGAAAUCCUGAUUCUGAUCACAGCUAACUGUGGACGCUAGGAGUUGAACCCUUCCAGAUACAGACUCAGCAAAUGACUUUAAUGCCAUCAUAAAUAAAUAUACUGUAAAAGCUUUAUUAGUGGAAUGU
rnacentral:lncRNA from 1 species